AUUGAACGCUGGCGGAAUGCUUUACACAUGCAAGUCGAACGGCAGCACGGACUUCGGUCUGGUGGCGAGUGGCGAACGGGUGAGUAAUACAUCGGAACGUGCCCAAUCGUGGGGGAUAACGUAGCGAAAGCUACGCUAAUACCGCAUACGCUCUAAGGAUGAAAGCGGGGGAGCGCAAGACCUCGCGCGAUUGCAGCGGCCGAUGGCAGAUGAGGUAGUUGGUAGGGUAAAGGACUACCAAGCCGACGAUCUGUAGCUGGUCUGAGAGGAUGAUCAGCCACACUGGGGCUGAGACACGGCCCAGACUCCUACGGGAGGCAGCAGUGGGGAAUUUUGGACAAUGGACGCAAGUCUGAUCCAGCCAUUCCGCGUGCAGGAUGAAGGCCCUCGGGUUGUAAACUGCUUUUGUACAGAACGAAAAGGCUCUGGUUAAUACCUAGGGCUCAUGACGGUACUGUAAGAAUAAGCACCGGCUAACUACGUGCCAGCCGCCGCCGUAA
rnacentral:rRNA from 1 species